AGUAACCUGCCUUGGAGUGGGGAAUAACACAUCGAAAGAUGUGCUAAUACCGGCAUAAUGCAGUUGGGCCGCAUGGCUCUGGCUGCCAAAGAUUUAUCGCUCUGAGAUGGACUCGCGUCUGAUUAGCUGGUUGGCGGGGUAACGGCCUACCAAAGCGACGAUCAGUAGCCGGCCUGAGAGGGCGGACGGCCACAUUGGGACUGAGACACGGCCCAAACUCCUACGGAAGGCAGCAG
rnacentral:rRNA from 1 species